AUAUCAAUAAGCGGAGGAAAAGAAACUAACAAGGAUUCCCUCAGUAACGGCGAGUGAAGCGGGAAGAGCUCAAAUUUAAAAUCUGGCUUACUUGCAAACUCCGAGUUGUAGUCUGAAGAAACGUUUUCCAUGAAAGCUGAGGCACAAGUCCUUUGGAACAGGGCAUCAUAGAGGGUGAGAAUCCCGUCCAUGGUCUCAAGCUUCAUUUUGUGAUACGUUUUCUAAGAGUCAGGUUGUUUGGGAAUGCAGCCUAAAAUGGGUGGUAAAUUUCAUCUAAAGCUAAAUAUUGGCGAGAGACCGAUAGCGAACAAGUACCGUGAGGGAAAGAUGAAAAGAACUUUGAAAAGAGAGUUAAACAGUGC
rnacentral:rRNA from 1 species